ACGCUCGACACCUACGGGAGCAGCAGUGGGGAAUAUUGCACAAUGGGGGAAACCCUGAUGCAGCGACGCCGCGUGGAGGAAGAAGGUCUUCGGAUUGUAAACUCCUGUUGUUGGGGAAAAAGAGGAUGGUACCCAACAAGGAAGUGACGGCUAACUACGUGACAGCAGCCGCGGUAAUCUGAGCGGGCUGGCGAAGGC
rnacentral:rRNA from 1 species